AGGAUCUUGAGAUAUCGCGUGCAUCGCAAUCAUUAACCCGUUCGGGAGUGCUAUGUCAACAUACUACAAAUGGUAACCCACCCCAAGCCAUGACCAAGAUUCGACUCUACGAGAUCUGGGUGGAUCUAUCCUUGUUAUAAAUCAGAUGGUAACCAGUUUCGAGAUCCAUGACAUAAAGCCAUGAAAAUAUUUCAAUGUAUGUUUCAGGUCGAUGUUUUCGAGCUUUGAGUGCGUUCUUCUAUUUCGUGGCUCUGGACAAAUCAGGUCGUCCCAUCAAAGUUCCCGCUCUGCAGCCACAGUCAGAGGAGGAAAGACAGAGAUUUGACGAAGGCAAAGCUCGCUACGAGGCUAGAAAACAAAGAAGGCUAAGCGUUAAAUAGAACUCUUGCAGUUAGUGCAAAUUAGUAUACAAGCAUGUAGUGCUCAUUUUGUCGCUAAUUUCUGGUAUACACUCUAUAAAACACUCUAAAUCUUUUUGGCUAAAUAUUUCCUGGUUAAUCUAUGGAAAUAAUCUUGUUUGGGUGAACAUGGUGUCCAAGUUAAAUUUCAUGGUUAAUUUAACCUUUUUCACUUACUAUGAUCUUAGCUUAGGCACGUCCUGGUUAAAUUAUAACCAGCCUAUGUUAGGUGGAUAAAAAUAUAACCUAUAUAUGUUUUACCGUGCCUGUAUAUAGGUAUAAUCAAAGUCCCCUGGUUUUUUAACCACCCAACAUAGUCUGAUUAUUUUAACAAGGACGUCUUGGUUAAAUAUAACCAUUAACCAUUUACAUUGUAAAGCAUACAAAUACAGUUUAAAAUGAUAUUCUCUUAUGCACCAUUUUACAAUGAAAAAAAUAUAUUGGACAUUGAAAAGUAAUUUCAUGAUAUUAGACAGAGGAGACACAAGACAAACAAGUCAAAGUAGAGUCAAUACUCGGUUUAGCAUGGGGAAAUUGGAAAAACUGAC